rnacentral:rRNA from 1 species
GACGAGGGGUCCUAGCGUUGUUCGGAAUCACUGGGCGUAAAGAGUUUGUAGGCGGCCCUGUAAGUCGGGUGUGAAAUCCCAUGGCUCAACCAUGGAAGUGCAUUCGAAACUGCAGGGCUUGAAUAUGGAAGAGGGCAGUAGAAUUCCAGGUGUAGUGGUGAAAUACGUAGAUAUCUGGAGGAAUACCGGUGGCGAAGGCGGCUGCCUGGUCCAAUAUUGACGCUGAGAAACGAAAGUGUGGGGAUCAAACAGG